rnacentral:rRNA from 1 species
GACAGAGGGGGCAAGCGUUGUCCGGAGUCACUGGGCGUAAAGCGUCUGUAGGUGGUGAUGCAAGUCACUGGUGCAAAACUCUGGCUCAACCGGAGGAAAGCCAGUGAAACUGCAUGACUAGAGUGUGGGAGAGGUAGAAGGAAUUCCCUGAGUAGCGGUGAAAUGCGUAGAUACAGGGAAGAACACCGGAGGCGAAAGCGUUCUACUGGAACACAACUGACACUGAGAGACGAAAGCUAGGGGAGCGAAUGGG